rnacentral:lncRNA from 1 species
AAUAACCCGCUGCCUUCUUAUGUUCUCCUGCUUAACAAAUUUAUAGAUGUUUACAUUUCUGACAAUAAAAUCUAAGCACGGGUUGCAGAGAGUUUAAGGUAUGUACUCAGAUGCUAGACUGCCUGGGUUUAAAUCCUGCCUUUGUCCUUUGUAAGCUAUCUCACCUUGAGUGAGUCGCAUUAUCUCUCACUGCCUCGAGUUUCUGUGCUGUAAACUGAGAUUAAUUUAUAGUGUGCACCCUAUGUCUUUGUUAGAAAGAUUAAAUUGGUUGGUAUUUAUAAAGCUUAUACAACAAUGCCUAGUACGUUGUAAGCAUUAGACGAAUGUAGCCAGUUUUUUCCUUUAUCGUUUCUUUUGUUGGUUUUAGUCUAAGAAAGUAUUUUCCUUCCCUAAGAUCAGGUAAAUAUUGGUGUGUAUUCGCUCCCAAGUUGCGUGUUUUAUUUUUUUCUAUAUCGAUUUCAUUGCCUCUGAGGUCUGUACUUCUCUCUGUCCUGGGAUGAAGUUGAUGUAGAAAGAACAAGCCAAUCCACUGGGGCCCCAAGAGGCUGACGUUCAAUCUCUCUAACCCUGCAUUCCACCUCAACCACUUAUUCCUGAUUUCAGGAGACCAACAGAAUUUGGUUUUGGGUGUUGUUGCUUAACUUUCAACACCCAUGUAAAAUGACUCUGGUAUGUACUUCGUUGUAUGUUUUAAACUCGUUCCUCUGCUUAACUUGGGCCUUAUCAUCUCGUAUUUGUCUGCACACCUCUCUGGAUCUCAAAGACAGACCAACUGUCAAGAGGCUACAAAUUGCUGAUGAUGACAGAUUCAACAUACCUCUGUAAAAAUCAAAGAGAGAGAAUAUUAUGGCAGGCACACGAGCACAAGUUGAUGCAAAAUGACCUACGACCAUCAUUGUCAAGUAUUUUACUUCCGCGGUAUCCAGAAAAGGUGAUUCAUGGUAUGAAGAUGAGAAGUUUGAUCGUGGGAUUUUGAAAUGAGCCUCAACAAUGAUAUGAGAAAGCACAUCUUGGUAGCUUUUGUUCUUUCCCUGAUUAUCACCUCCUGCUCACACAGUCAUUUCUUCCUUCAAUUCUCCCAGAUGUUGGAAGUCAACCUCAUUGUUUCGGUUCAUGAAUUAUAUUGUGCAAUAAGUUAAAUGAAAGGAGUUGAAUUGCAACAAAAACAACAGUAAAAUUUUUAUGAAUUUCACUUUAGGGAAGAGUAUAAACAUCUUCUUUGUUUUCAACUUAUCAAUUUUCAAUCAGCUUUUUAGGAGCAGCCUUUCCAACUUGCUUUUAGGAAUGAUAGUAUCAGCAAACACAGGAGAAAGACGCUGUAUGGGCCAGCAGCUGUAAGACGCCAGGAUAUUGGAAGUUUCAGCUGGUAUGUCUGAGUCACGCUCAGUUUUGUGGUCCCUGUUUUUAUUUCCCAAAAUACUUUAAUAGUGACAGAGGUUAUUGAAAUGUAUGGCUAUCCUAAAAGUACCAGGAGACUUGAUCCAGUUUUACAAGGCUGGAAUAUUUGCAUUCUUUGCAUCUUGUAAAUUACAAUCACCAAAUGCUUCUAUAGAGAAUUUUUUUUGGCGAUAAAUCUCUGAAACAAGUUAAUAGUGCAUACCUUUUAACUUUUACGAAUGGCACAUUUUUAGAUAUGGGAUUUUUUUUUUUUUUUUUUUUUUUUGAGACAGAGUCUUUCGCUCUGUCACCUAGGCUGGAGUGCAGUGGCACAAUUCUAGCUCACUGCAGCCUCAAACUGCCAGGCUCAAGUGAUCCCCCAGCCUCAGCCUCCUGAGUAGCUAGGACUCCAGGUGCAUGCCAUCAGGCCUGGUUAUUUAAAACAAUUUUUUUUUUUUUUUUUUUUUUUUGCAUAGAUGAGAGUCUUGCUAUGUUGCCCAGAGUCUUGCUAUGUUGCCCAGGCUGGUCUCGAUCUCCUGGCCUUCCUUAAGUAAUCCUCAUUCCUUGGUUUCCCAAAGUGCUGAGAUUACAGGUGUGAGCCACUAUGCCUGGUGGAGAUAUAUGAUUUUUAAAACCAUAAAUGCUCAUAUUUGCAAAGGAGCUGAGAGAUCUAAUACUAGGAUUUAAGUCCACUGCUGAGUUAAAAGCCUGGCAUAGGAGAAUGUUUGUUGAAUGAAUGAAAAGUUAUUUGCUAUAUGGAACAGCAGUAAAUAUAUCAUCUGGGUCGCUGACUUAUGUACUACCAUUGCUUUAGUUAGGUCUAAUAUCCCAUUUAAAUUAAAAUACUGGACUGCACUGUAUUAUAUGUUGAGUCAGAUUUCUCCCAGUCAUAAUAGAAGAACUACUGUAAGUUACGUUAAUACUUGGAAACCACUUGAGUACCCUUUAGUGCAAAGAGACUGUGCUGAUUAAAUUUCCGCUCACGUAGCUUCUGUAAGUCUUUACCCCACUCCCAAGAAGGAGUUUGAGCCUUAGGAAACCCUGGCUCCCUGGAUUCUCUUUCCCGCGGGAUGGGCUAAUGAUGGGGGUAGGGUGGGAGUAGAGCAAUUAUUUUUCGCCAACUCCAACCACUGCAGGAAGACGCCGGCUACAGAGGUCACGUUUCUCUUGUUUACUGGCCGUGGACAUUUCUG